UAUUAUUAUUAUUAUUUUUGUUAGAUUGCAUCACUUUUAACAUCUUACGCAUCGCAUUUAUUUUACAACCCACUACCCUUUAAACCGACCCGACCCGACCCGUUCAUCUAAAACCAACUAGGGUUGCCUUCAACGCCCAUCAGCUGCACCUCUCUCUCUCCCUCUCCAUUUUCAGUUAAACCUCCCCCUUUCUUUAGUCACGGACAGAGAUUAUCAUCCCAUUUCCGUGCAAACCUUCACUGGUUCAGAACUUUUUCAUUUCUUGGUGAAUAUAGACACAUCAAAAUCUUCAAGGACCAGAGAAGAUCUGUCCACUUUGAGCAAAGUAUAAAUCAAUCACGUGAAGAAACCUCAAACGUUCGGAUUUGCACGAGUUUUGACUCAACUUUGAAUUGUUUUUCUUUGAUUUCAAAUUCCCGCUUAUUGGAGCCCUAACCCUAGCAUUCUUUUCCUAUAAAUGCAUCUUAAACCUUGAGCCGCAGGGGAGGGAAGACACGAAAUUUACCUUGGCUUCAUGAUCUAAACUGUGGUUUCAAAGUUUGGAGCAAUCACUGUGUCUCAUAUUAAAAAAAAAAAAUUUGGAACUUCGCUUGUCGUGUUUUGAGUUUGAAGUUUGAAACUUUUUGUUAAUGGAAGCGGGUUCGGGUUCGUCGUGUUUUGAGUGUGGAUCCGAGGCCUCAAAGCUCCGAUUCACUGCCCCCGCAGCAGAGUCUCGUAUUGAGACUCAAUAUGGCUGCCGCUAAGCCGAAGACCUGCAUUUACACCUUCUUUGCCCAUUUCACUCCCACUAUACCUCCAAGCAGAAGGAUGGGCGACGAAGCCUCCGUCUCUUAUUUAUUUCUGUUCUAGUUUUGCCUUUAUUGGGUUCUGUGAUAAUCUUGCUUUUAAUGUUUCUAGCUUGUUCUUGAUUCUCUUAAUAUAAGUAUAGGACCAGUGCUAAUAUUAACUUAGAAAGGGUAGUUGUUAUGUAGGAAAACCAGUAGCUUAUUUUUUAUUUAGAUAGUAACUUUGUUUUUAUCACUAGUGUCGUGCAAUGAAGCAAACAUGAUUUGGCUUUUGGACUGAUUAUAAGUUGGUUUUUCCAGAAUUUAAAUAGCAUCCUUUAGGUUAAUAAAAGAUGCUUUCGCUUA